UUAAUUUUUCAGUCAUUGAAUAUUUUUAAACGUUAACAAAAGAGUAAAAGUAAAACAUACUUUCCAGCAGAUCCUGAAAGGUGUGAAGUAUAGAUCAGAUUUGUUAAUAGAGGAGUAUGUUCAAAACAUUUUUUAGAAAAAGAUAUUGACAGAACUUCACUUUCAUCUGUUCAUUGAGAGACUGUGCUGUUCCAAUAGCUUAUGUCACACAGAAUCAGCUGAGAGAAGUGGUCUACAAAAAACCAGGAAGGAAACGAAAUAUGUGGCUACGAAAGGCAAAA
rnacentral:lncRNA from 1 species